rnacentral:rRNA from 1 species
CCGCGUGAGUGAUGAAGGCUUUCGGGUCGUAAAGCUCUGUCAAGUGGGAAGAACCCACAUGGUGAUAAUACCACCAUGUGCUGACGGUACCACUGAAGGAAGCACCGGCUAACUCCGUGCCAGCAGCCGCGGUAAUACGGGGGGUGCAAGCGUUAUUCGGAAUUACUGGGCGUAAAGAGCGCGUAGGCGGUCUCUUAAGUCAGCUGUGAAAGCCCGGGGCUCAACCCCGGAAGUGCACUUGAAACUAAGGGACUUGAGUAUGGGAGAGGGAAGUGGAAUUCCUGGUGUAGCGGUGAAAUGCGUAGAUAUCAGGAGGAACAUCGGUGGCGAAGGCGACUUCCUGGACCAAUACUGACGCUGAGGCGCGAAGGCGUGGGGAGCAAACAGGAUUAGAUACCC